rnacentral:misc_RNA from 1 species
CGUGUUGCUUUCAUUCAAUGGAUUGAGGAGGCGUUUUGAUGAAGAGUGUUUGGUUAAGGCCUCGUUUUGCUUCAUCACUCUUGGUCGCGUGUAUGAGCAGCGAAUUAUGGAGUGUGGGGUCCAUCCUAUAUAUAGUAGAAAUAAAAGGAGAAGCACAAAUGAAGAGCAUCAGGAUGACGAGCAACCCCAUCAGCAUCAGGAUGA